CCCCUUAUUCUCUCUUCUUGAGCUGGUCGUCCCUCUCCUCCCUCGCCUUCAAACCUCUCCUCCCUCGCCUUCAAACUUUGAAGGCGCUCUUGUCUUGCCUUCAUCUCUCUCUCUCUCUCUCUCUCUCUCUCCUUCUCGUUUUUGAGCUGGUAUUCUCUUGCUUCAAACACUCUUCCCUAGCCUUCAAACCUGGUUUCACAGACGUUCGAUCUGCGCCCCUCUCUUAUUCUCUCGGUCUCACGUUCGAUAACCAGAGAUGCGGAGCCUCAUCAACUCUCCUCUCCGGUAUUCUCUCUCUUAUUCAGACCUCCUCCCCGAUCUGCAAAACAGAUGCUCUCGCGGUUUUCAGCUGUUCUUCAAAUCCUUUUCUUAAAGACCUCCUCUUCGCACGGAUGCUCUAUCUGCGCCUCUCUUAUUCUCUCUACAUCUUUCACAUUUAAUAUCCUGAGAUGCAGAGUCUCCUAAACUUCCUCUCCCCUAUCCUCUUCUUCGGGCCUUCUCGAUUUACAAAACAGAUGAGCUUGCGCAGAGCUGUACCAUCAAUUUUUGGUCGCAAGAGAUGGCGUUUGCGUUAUUUUCUCUUGUCGGAGUUCUCAGGAUUUUCAGAAUGUCUCUUAUGCAUUUGCUGAUCAGGAUGUUGAAGCUAAUUCUGUUGUACUCACUUCUGCUCUUGCUUCCAAAUUGAGCCGUUGGCAA